GCCGGGCGCGGUGGCUCACGCCUGUAAUCCCAGCACUUUGGGAGGCAGAGGCGGGUGGAUCACCUGAGGUCAGGAGUUCGAGACCAGCCUGGCCAACAUGGUGAAACCCUGUCUCUA
rnacentral:SRP_RNA from 1 species